AAUAUUGCGCAAUGGAGGGAACUCUGACGCAGCGACGCCGCGUGAGCGAUGAAGGUCUUCGGAUCGUAAAGCUCUGUCCUUGGAGAAGAAGGGAGCCGUAAGGCUUCUUGACGGUACCAAUGGAGGAAGCCCCGGCUAACUAUGUGCCAGCAGCCGCGGUAAUACGUAGGGGGCGAGCGUUAUCCGGAAUUAUUGGGCGUAAAGGGUGCGUAGGCGGCUUUUUAAGUCAGAUGUGAAAGGCUACGGCUUAACCGUAGUUAGCAUUUGAAACUAAAAGGCUUGAGUGCAGGAGAGGAGAGUGGAAUUCCUAGUGUAGCGGUGAAAUGCGUAGAUAUUAGGAGGAACACCAGUGGCGAAGGCGACUCUCUGGACUGCAACUGACGCUGAGGCACGAAAGCGUGGGGAGCGAAC
rnacentral:rRNA from 1 species